UACGUAGGGUCGAGCGUUGUCCGGAAUUACUGGGCGUAAAGAGCUCGUAGGUGGUUUGUCGCGUUGUUCGUGAAAACUCACAGCUUAACUGUGGGCGUGCGGGCGAUACGGGCAGACUGGAGUACUGCAGGGGAGACUGGAAGUUCCUGGUGUAGCGGUGGAAUGCGCAGAUAUCAGGAGGAACACCGGUGGCGAAGGCGGCCGCCUGGUCGGCGAGUGAACUGACGCUGAGGAGCGAAAGCGUGGGG
rnacentral:rRNA from 1 species